rnacentral:rRNA from 1 species
CUACGUGCCAGCAGCCGCGGUAAUACGGAGGAUGCGAGCGUUAUCCGGAUUUAUUGGGUUUAAAGGGUGCGUAGGUUGUUCGGUAAGUCAGCGGUGAAACCUGAGCGCUCAACGUUCAGCCUGCCGUUGAAACUGCCGGGCUUGAGUUCAGUGGCGGCAGGCGGAAUUCGUGGUGUAGCGGUGAAAUGCAUAGAUAUCACGAGGAACUCCGAUUGCGAAGGCAGCUUGCCAUACUGCGACUGACACUGAAGCACGAAGGCGUGGGUAUCAAACAGGAUUAGAUACCCUGGUAGUCCACGCAGUAAACGAUGAUUACUAGGUGUUGGGGGUCGAACCUCAGCGCCCAAGCUAACGCGAUAAGUAAUCCGCCUGGGGAGUACGUACGCAAGUAUGAAACUCAAAGGAAUUGACGGGGACCCGCACAAGCGGUGGAGCAUGUGGUUUAAUUCGACGCAACGCGAGGAACCUUACCAGCGUUUGACA